rnacentral:miRNA from 1 species
GAGAGAAUUCAAAGACAAAGA